CCAACUGUUUUGAGGCUAAAGGAGAAUACCCACUGCUGAUGCUAAAAAAGAAUAAUAAGCUUGCGAGCAAAAUUUAUUCGGUAAGUACAACGAGAAGAUAUUGAAUACCAUCAGUUGGCAUUUCAUAUUGCUUGGUGUUGGGUGAGGGCCACAAGUACAUACAUAUCUGCCUUGUAGGGAUCCUUUGGGUUGAACUGUUAAAUAUGUUAUCACCAAGAGUGAAAGUCUGUUAUCUUUGAGAAGUGAAUAAUUAUUUUAUCCUAAUUCCAAGUGUACUUGAUCAAUAAUCUUACAUGAUCUACUUUUUGUGAAUUUAUCAGGAAACUAAGAAAUAAAGGCUUCGGGUAUGCAAUCGUGGUAGCGACAAAGCUGUUUGUAUGUGAUUUGGAGACAAAGUAUCAAGAGGCAUAGACCUGGUCAUAUAGUACCAUGACGCAAUACAUAUAACAGCUCGUCUUUUAUGUUGUAAGAAUUUAGAGACACAUUUUACAUAGCACAUUUCUUUGGGCUCCCAACGCCAUGCCAAUUUAUCUUACAACAUGUGUUUAAAGAGUGUAAAGUCUUUCUGAUAAUUAUUAUGUCGUGUUAUUUUAUACUACAAGUGAAAUUGCACAAUAGGCUAUACCUAGAUAUCUUAGAAUUGCGUUUUAUUUGACCCCAUGUGUGCAAGGACUCCGGAUGAUUUAACGAGCAAAUCAC
rnacentral:lncRNA from 1 species